CAGUCGCCACGGUAAAACAGAGGGUGCGAGCGUUAAUCGGAUUUACUGGGCGUAAAGCGUGCGUAGGCGGCUUCUUAAGUCGGAUGUGAAAUCCCUGAGCUUAACUUAGGAAUUGCAUUCGAUACUGGGAAGCUAGAGUAUGGGAGAGGAUGGUAGAAUUCCAGGUGUAGCGGUGAAAUGCGUAGAGAUCUGGAGGAAUACCGAUGGCGAAGGCAGCCAUCUGACCUAAUACUGACGCUGAGGUACGAAAGCAUGGGGAGCAAACAGGAUUAGAUACCCGCGUAGUCCCUGUUUCUUAUAC
rnacentral:rRNA from 1 species